AGGAGUGGAGCCUGCGGCUUAAUUUGACUCAACACGGGAAACCUCACCAGGCCCGGACACCGGAAGGAUUGACAGAUUGAGAGCUCUUUCUUGAUUCGGUGGGUGGUGGUGCAUGGCCGUUCUUAGUUGGUGGAGCGAUUUGUCUGGUUAAUUCCGAUAACGAACGAGACUCUAGCCUGCUAACUAGGCGUAUUUCGACAUCCCAAAGGCCCGCCGGUUCGGGGUCCUCGGACUCCUUUCCGCGCGCGGUUUUUACUGUCGGCGUACAAACAAUUCUUCUUAGAGGGACAGGCGGCUUCUAGCCGCACGAGAUUGAGCAAUAACAGGUCUGUGAUGCCCUUAGAUGUUCUGGGCCG
rnacentral:rRNA from 1 species